UGACGACCCUUCGGGAGCUAGCACAGGUGCUGCAUGGCUGUCGUCAGCUCGUGUCGUGAGAUGUUCGGUUAAGUCCGCUAACGAGCGCAACCCUCGCUGUGUGUUAUAUGUGUCACAUGGGACUGCCGGCCUUAAGCCGGAGGAAGGUGGGGAUGAUGUCAAGUCAGCAUGGCCUUUAUGUCCUGGGCUACACACACGUUACAAUGGUCAGCACAAUGGGUCGCUAAGCCGCAAGGUGGAGCCAAUCCUCAAAGUUGGCCUCAGUUCAGAUUGUAGGCUGCAACUCGCCUGCAUGAAGAUGGAGUUGCUAGUAAACGCAGGUCAGCUAUACUGCGUUGAAUACGUUCCCGGGGCUU
rnacentral:rRNA from 2 species